UACAGAGGGGCAAGCGUUGUUCGGAAUUACUGGGCGUAAAGCGCACGUAGGCGGCUUUGUAAGUUAGAGGUGAAAGCCUGGGGCUCAACUCCAGAACUGCCUUUAAAACUGCAUCGCUUGAAUCCAGGAGAGGUGAGUGGAAUUCCGAGUGUAGAGGUGAAAUUCGUAGAUAUUCGGAAGAACACCAGUGGCGAAGGCGGCUCACUGGACUGGUAUUGACGCUGAGGUGCGAAAGCGUGGGGAGCAAACAGG
rnacentral:rRNA from 1 species